rnacentral:lncRNA from 1 species
UUUACAAUGAAUUGGCUUACGACCUACGAACACUACAGUGGGUAUUGUAGGCAGGUAACCAUGCCAAAAUGGUCUGUAUUUAUUAACAAAGCAAGAUAAAAAAAAAAAGACAUUGUAGCCAUGCAACAUAUGUGAUUAGCUAACAUUUAAAUUCCCAAGUAGCAUUGUAUUUUCUCUCGCUUCAGCUCAAAUAAUGGCCGCCAUUGAUUUUAAUAAAAUUUGUGUUAUGUUUUUUUUAUGAUUAUUAUUUUUAAAAUGUGUUUGUUUGCUUACAUCGAUGCAUGCUUCAAAAUAUGUACAUAUGGAGGACGCAUUCGAAAAGUGCCCUCCAUGCACUGUUUCACAUACUUUUGAUUUGGGACUCGUACCCACGACCCUCCCCCCUGCUACAAUUUGCCACGGUAUUAUGGAUUAUAGAUAAACACCCCAUUGAGUCAAACAUUUUUUUUUUUUUUUCAUUUUUUUUUUUUUGCCCAGUGGUUUUCCUGAUAAUUUUCAAGUAGAGUUAUUAAUGUUUUCCUGUCGUUUGCUGUGACUUCUACGAUCUAUUGCGGUUUUCUUAAUAUAUACUGUUUAUUCUAACUGUUAUGUGACGGAUGUAUGGUUUUGUCUGAAGACAAUUUCUGAACAUUCUUAUUAAACGUUCUGUGGUGCUAAGCUUUUUUCUUCAACACCAAGGGGCUGAAUCCCCUAUGGCACCCUAUUCCCUAUAUAGGGCACUACUUUGAUCACUACUAGAUCCCUGGUUAAAGGUUUUUGUAUGUUAACUAGACAAGUCAGUUAAGGAAAAAUUCUUAUUUUCAACGACGGCCUAGGAACAGCGGGUUAAACUGCCUUGUUCAGGGGGGGGGCAGAACGACAGAUUUUUGUUGUACCUUGUCAGCUCAGGGAUUUGAUUUUGCAACCUUUGCGGUUACUAGUCCAACGCUCUAACCACUGGGCUACCCUGCCGCCCCAAGGUAGUGCACUAUAUAGGCAAUAGGGUGCCAUAGGGCACAGAACCUUGGAGAUGGACCUCCAAGACUGCCUUAAAAUCUUACAACAAGUUACACGGUAGCAUGGCGGGACAUGAUUUUACCAUCGUCAGUAGUACAAUCCAACACCUCUGUCCCUUUAAACCCCACCAAAUACACACUGCCGCCUUACGAAAGCUUCUGCUGAACUGCAUCAGUGAAACUAUAGUAUCUAAUCUAGUUCUCUGGAUAAGAGCGUCUGCUAAAAUGUUUCAAACCCCUGUGAUGUGAUGAUCGUUGUACUGUUGUAAUUAUGUUUAUUCUCCUCUCUGCUAAUCUCAGUUUAGAGUGUCAGUGUAUGUUUUUUGUUGAAAGGAAACAUGAGGUGUGAUUACAGGUAAAUGAUGUUUUAUUGUCAAGGGCCUACUGUACUGAGUCUAUUCUGGGACCCAAAUGGCACUCUAUUCCCUAUAUAGUGGACUAUUACCUAAUCUGGAAAAUUUGACCUUAGGCAACACAGAGACUAGGGUCUGUUUUCAAUGAUAGACUUACGUCAAUUAAUGUCUACGUCAAUGGGGGGGGGACUUUUGACCAGAGCCCUACUGUGUUUGGCUAGUAAAUAAGUCUUGAAAACUUGACCCUAGGCAACACAGGGACUUGGGUCUGGCUUCAAUUAUGGAUUAUUUUGGCAUUGAGGAACUACAUCACUGGAGGGGGGGAUUUCUGGGGACCAAUCAAAUCACAAGGCUGACAUGAGUCUAGAGCGUCUCGAUUCGAAACCAAAGUUUGCAGCGGUUUUAUCGAAGGGUAGUUGAUGCAAACUAGCCACUUGUGAAAUGCACCCGUUAAAAAUAACCUACAAGUCCUCCAUCUUUGCUAGUUCUGAUUUAUAUUUUAGUCAAGAGUAGUGACGUAGGUAGUGACGUAGUGCCUCUAUGCUACGUAGGUAGUGACAUAGUUCCUCUAUGCUACGUAGGUAGUGACGUAGUUCCUCUAUGCUACGUAGGUAGUGACUUAGGUCCUCUAUGCUACGUAGGUAGUGACAUAGGUCCUCUAUGCUACGUAGGUAGUGACAUAGGUCCUCUAUGCUACGUAGGUAGUGACAUAGGUCCUCUAUGACUAAAGAGUCCAUCAUUGAAACCAAAACCUGGUUAUGGUGUUACCCAGGUUCGGGUUUUCAAGACUAUCUACUAGCCGUACAAAGUAUGGCUCUGGUCGAAAUAAUAACAACAUAUCGUCAAAAGUAAUGCACUAUUUAAUAAUAACAAUAUAUAUCAUUUAGCAGACUUUUUUAAAUAUUUUUUUUUAUAUCCAAAGCGACUUAGUUAUGUGUGCGUACAUUUUACAUUACGGGUGGUCCCGAGAAUGGAUCCCACUACCCACCAGGCAUUGCACUUCCUUUCCAACUGAGCUACAGAAAGGACCUAUAACUUCAUAGGAAUAUUCUAGACAUCUCCUACGGAACAGGGAAGCAUUUUGGGAGUCACAGUACUAGCCGAUGUGAGAUUACGAUGCCUGGAUACGAAAGACUUUCCGUGUGUUAAAUCUGAUUAUUAUUAAAAUAUCUUGGUGGUUUGACGAAACGUUAUACGAAA